GGAGGCAGCAGUGAGGAAUAUUGGUCAAUGGGCGCUAGCCUGAACCAGCCAAGUAGCGUGAAGGAUGACUGCCCUAUGGGUUGUAAACUUCUUUUAUAUGGGAAUAAAGUGCAGUAUGUAUACUGCUUUGCAUGUACCUUAUGAAUAAGGAUCGGCUAACUCCGUGCCAGCAGCCGCGGUAAUACGGAGGAUCCGAGCGUUAUCCGGAUUUAUUGGGUUUAAAGGGAGCGUAGGCGGGUUGUUAAGUCAGUUGUGAAAGUUUGCGGCUCAACCGUAAAAUUGCAGUUGAUACUGGCAUCCUUGAGUACAGUAGAGGUAGGCGGAAUUCGUGGUGUAGCGGUGAAAUGCUUAGAUAUCACGAAGAACUCCGAUUGCGAAGGCAGCCUGCUGGACUGUAACUGACGCUGAUGCUCGAAAGU
rnacentral:rRNA from 1 species